rnacentral:rRNA from 1 species
GACGAACGCUGGCGGCGUGCUUAACACAUGCAAGUCGAACGGAGAGGCCCUGCUUUUGUGGGGUGCUCGAGUGGCGAACGGGUGAGUAACACGUGAGUAACCUGCCCUUGACUUUGGGAUAACUUCAAGAAACUGGGGCUAAUACCGGAUAGGAGCUCCUGCUGCAUGGUGGGGGUUGGAAAGUUUCGGCGGUUGGGGAUGGACUCGCGGCUUAUCAGCUUGUUGGUGGGGUAGUGGCUUACCAAGGCUUUGACGGGUAGCCGGCCUGAGAGGGUGACCGGCCACAUUGGGACUGAGAUACGGCCCAGACUCCUACGGGAGGCAGCAGUGGGGAAUAUUGCACAAUGGGCGGAAGCCUGAUGCAGCAACGCCGCGUGCGGGAUGACGGCCUUCGGGUUGUAAACCGCUUUCGCCUGUGACGAAGCGUGAGUGACGGUAAUGGGUAAAGAAGCACCGGCUAACUACGUG